rnacentral:rRNA from 1 species
GAUGAACGCUGGCGGCGUGCCUAAUACAUGCAAGUCGAGCGAACGGACGAGAAGCUUGCUUCUCUGAUGUUAGCGGCGGACGGGUGAGUAACACGUGGAUAACCUACCUAUAAGACUGGGAUAACUUCGGGAAACCGGAGCUAAUACCGGAUAAUAUUUUGAACCGCAUGGUUCAAAAGUGAAAGACGGUCUUGCUGUCACUUAUAGAUGGAUCCGCGCUGCAUUAGCUAGUUGGUAAGGUAACGGCUUACCAAGGCAACGAUGCAUAGCCGACCUGAGAGGGUGAUCGGCCACUCUGGAACUGAGACACGGUCCAGACUCCUACGGGAGGCAGCAGUAGGGAAUCUUCCGCAAUGGGCGAAAGCCUGACGGAGCAACGCCGCGUGAGUGAUGAAGGUCUUCGGAUCGUAAAACUCUGUUAUUAGGGAAGAACAUAUGUGUAAGUAACUGUGCACAUCUUGACGUUACCUAAUCAGAAAGCCACGGCUAACUACGUG